AAAGAUAUUUGGAAAGAAAAUUAAUUCAUUGAUAUAAAAGCAUUUAGUUUCAUAAUGGACCAUGUAUUGAAACUCAGAGAAUCCUUGAUGUUGUUUCUUGUUAUGGAACACUUUUUUCUCUUUUUGCUCUCACUUAGAGGCCUGAGACCUCAGGAAUUCUUCAGGUCUCUGGAGAAAUGAGGCAUUGUCCUACAAGGUUGUCCUACUCAUAUUCAGAAAGUCUCUCUUGUAUAACUUGCUGUGUUGGGUGUUGGAAUAUUCUGCCUGGGCUUCAGAUCAAAACAUUUCCAGGCAUGCAAGCAGUGUAGCUAUUUCUGGUUAGUUGCUAUCUUUCUGAACUCUUGUCUUGUGAUAAAAAUUAAUUAGCUUUUUCUCAUUCUUUCUCUAUUCUCUUUAGAACCUUUGUUGUAAUUAUCUCUAUCUUAUGUCUUUCUUUUCAGUCAUUGUUUCUCAAGUCCUAUCUUUCUAAGCUGAGCUGUUUCUUUCUUUUGUAAAGUUUUAAAGUUAAAUUCUUUGUCAUUUUAGAUCAUCCCGAACUCAUAUUCUUUUUACUGACACUUAUUUUUUAUAUCCUGUCAGCACCUUUGGGCCAGAUUGCAAUUUUUUUAUGAUAAACGUAAAGGCCUUAUAAUAAUAUUAACAUAUCUUUUAUACUUUUGCCUUUCAUUUGGAUUGCUCCUCCCUUCAUGAAAAUAAAGAAUGUCUUGGCUAUGUCAUUUAACAGAAAAAUCUUUGGGAGCCCUCCUUUCCUUCAGACUUUUUGAAUAAGGCAGCAACCCAUAGUGUAUUUCUGUACUUUUCAGUAAAAUUUUUUUCAGAAUCCUGAUAUUCCUGUCUUAGAAUAAAAAUCAAUCAUUUAAAUCCAUAUACGUGGAGUCUCAGAGCGUUUGAUGUUAACUUGAACACAUAAGCCAAGUAGGCAUGGUGGCACAUGCCUAUAAUUCCGUCCAGCUCUGGAGGCUGAAGCAGGAGGAUCAUGAGUUCAAAGCCAGCCUCAACAACUUAGAGAGGCCCUAAGCAACUCAGAGACAUUCUGUCUCUAAGUAAAAUAUAAAAAAAAGGCUAGGGAUGUGGCUCAGUGGUUAAGUACCCCUGAGUUUAAUCCCCAGUACCCAAAACAAACAAACAAAAAGCAUAUAUUUAUGCAUAUAAAUAGGCGUGUUGGUCUUGUAUUUGUAAACCAAAUUUAGGGGCAACAGUUUUGUCAAUUUGUUACCUAUUGUAAGAAAUUGAUGCUUAUAUUAACAAAUAUUUAUAUAUUGCUGGAUUUGUCAGUGAAGUAAAUGUCAGUACUGCAACUGUGUUCACACAUGAAGUAAAACAUAAAUCAAAUGUAGUCACAUACAGACUCACUUUAAAUAACUUCUCUUUAGUUAUAAGAAAAAUAUGAAUUGCAAGCAAAAACAUGCAAUUUUUAAAAACUUGAGGAUUUUUACUGUGCUUUUUAAAUUAAACUUACUGACACUAAAAAAAAGUAAAAUUAUAAUAGGAAGUCAUAAAUUUAGUAGUGUUAAUGAGCAUCUCAAAAGGUUUACUACAGAUACUUAUUGUUGGAUGUUUUCAACAUCCAGUCUUUGUUCUUUCAGUAAUCAUUUUUUCUCAUUCUUUGUUUUAAACAGUCCAGAAAAACCUGUGAGUGUGACAAUAAAUUUUGAAGAUGAACCGUCAAAGAAAUACAUGGAUGCUGAAACUUCGUUAUAGAAUUAAACCAACAGGAAUUAUAUAUAGAUAUAUAUAUAUCUCUAUAUAUAAUGUGUGUGUGUAUGUGUGUGUGUGUGUGUGUGUCAUGUCACUAUAUAUAACAAUAUUGUAUGUCAUGCUAUUUAUGCAUGACCAUUGGGUUUUUUGAAGUGGAAUCUGAAGUUUGUAAUAGGCACCAUGGAUAUUGUGUGUAAUAAUGAAAUGGUCUCUUGGAAGUGAGGUACAUGGUUCUUAUUCAAAUAUUUAUUCUGUUGGGGGAAAGUUUUUCUGUUCCGCAAUAGAAAGACGUGGGGAAAUGCAUUCAAUCUGCUUUUCUUAAAUCUCUUUGUUCACAGCAGCAAUUCAUAUCAACCUCAAGUGAAAAGUAUUUAGUCCAUAUAUUUAUAAUUUUUACUUGAGUUUCUAAAAAUUUUCAGACUAUUUCACUUUUGUUAGUGCUUUAUAGGAAGAACAGGGUGUAUGCCCACGCUAUGGUAAAGUACUGUGCCAUGGCUUCUCCGUGCAUUUCAUUUAUGUAGAGUCCAUCAUGUAUCACAAGUGAUGGAAUUUUCUUGACCAUAGAGGUCAAGCGGGAACUUUCUAGAAAGGAAACUAUAGUUUUUAACCUUUAUAUUUUAGGAUUUUUUUUUAAAGCUUAAAAUUUAAUAUCUAGGGUUCCUUUCUGACAGUCAAGUAAAAUUGCAAAUGAUUUGUAAUAGCACCUGCACCAUUGGUAACUUCAUGAAUUUUAGAAACUAUAAAAUACCAGUUUGCAGUAAUUAAAUUUUGCUACCUUUGUAGAAAUUAUUUUCUUUACCAUUGCUCUCUUAAAGUAGUUUAGUUUAUAUCAGGUUCAAGUUCUUGCUUAUAAGUAGUAUGAUUAAAUAAUCAGGAGUCAGAAUUCUCUGGAAUGGGUUUGUGAUCAGUAUUAAUUAUUAAGGCUGACCUUUUACUUUCUGUUAUUCUUUCUAUUGCAUAGAUUGUAUUUAAUAGGUGGUUAAACACAAUUUCAUUUAAAAAUAUUUUAUUUAUUUUAAUUGAUAUGAUACUUAAAUAUUAUAAAAACAUUUGAAAAGGUAAUACAUAGAGAGUAAAUCAUUAAUGUAAAUACUUGGUGCUCACUUGCAUUUAUGUUUAUUAUCUAAAAACAGUUGACAGAUUUUACAUCUUUGAUAUAAAGCACUGCCAUAUUUCUAUUUUAAAAGGAAAUUAGACAUUUUAUGUAUAGCUCAGAUUGAUGGCAUUCUUCCUAUUUUGUGUUAGUGUUUGUUACUUAGUUUUUCUGAGCUGCCUUUUUAACUUCUAGAAAGUUGUUUUAGCUAUCUUUUAUAUACUCUUAGCUCCACACAAAAUAAAUAAAUGUUUUUCUUGUGAAGCCUGUAGGACUGGAUGAAUGGGGUUGUGAAACUGAUUUGGCAAGAGAAUAAUUUACAAAAUCCAAGUAAAUAUUGAGAAGCCAUAGAAAUACUGAAGAUGGUGACAUGAAUAUUAGGAUGAAAAAUUUAAUGUAAUUCCAAUGCUCCCUUUGUUCAUUUAUAAUGAAAGUAUAAAAGUAUGAGUAAUUGAUCUUAUAGAAGAUCAUGAGAAAUGCCAAAAGCUGAUAUUUUAGCAAUUCUGAGGUGUUUAGAUCCAUUCUGAACUAAAUAAUAACUAUUGUAAUUUCCCCAUCUGAGACUGUUUUGUCAGAGUUUAUAAUAGAUUCAACUUCUGCCUCAGAUGAGAUGUUGGAAAUCUAGCUGCUUUUUCUUUAGAAAUUGUAGAUGGCAUCAUUUGGUACUGCCUAAAAAGAGUUUUAGACUCUUGGCAAUUGAUGGAGAGUAUUACCCAUGGUGCUGAUUAUUGUUAUGAGCUUCCAUUUCAGUGGUUCCUUUCCAUUCAUAGCAGCAUAGUCAUUUCCAAAGUCCCGGUAUCUGCUGCUAUUUUUAAAAAUACCCUGAUGUAUCUAAACUAGAGGAUUUCCUCACAUCAUUUCCUUGUGUUUGGACAUCAAAGGGUUAGCAACUGUACUUAUUUUACCGGAAGUGAUUUUAAAAUUUAAACUGAAAACUACCUGGGAUAUAGUGUUUCUGUGAUUUUAUUUAAUUAUGUAUAGUAAUUGUCCAGUGCCAGAAAAACCAUGACUUGCAAAAUUCUCUGUGUUCAAAAUAUUUUAAGGUGUUUCUGAUUCCUUAUUGGUUUCUGCUUGCUUUUGACUACUUGACUUGCAAAAUGAUAUGAUAUGACUACUCCUCCAUUGAAGAUCGAAGGUAAACUCAUGUUUAAGUAAUUGACUGCUUGUUUUAAGUGGUUAUGGUAUUUCUUCCACUUUUUGAAAAUUACAAUCAUGGAUAGCAUUCAUUGUAAGACAGUGAAAGAUAUAAUUUACUAUAUAUAUUGAUUUUUAAAUGUUGCCUUAAAUAGGUGUAUAUGAGCAGUGGUAAUUGCUAUGUACUGAUUUACCUCAAGGUGCAAAAUAGUUAAACCUGUACAUAUUCCAUUUACAAAAUAAAUUCAAAUAAACAGCCCUGCACUUUCUUAGAUGCCUUGAUUUUCAGAAUAGAGCUUAGUGCUACUGAAUACCCUGGCCAUAGAGCCGCCUCAGGAUAUUCUUUUCUCCACCAUAUUUUUAUUUAUUUAUAGAUGUCUGUUUACAAAGACUAUAAUAAAUUCUGAUGUUGACCAUUUGAAAUUUACUUUCUUCUGAUGGCUGUUUCAAUCUAAAAUAGCAGCUUUUGAGAAAACAAUGAACUAAACUUCCUUAUGAUAAAAGGAUGAUUCUAUAUAUUUUUUAAUAAUACUAGGUAUGUCGAAAUGAAGCACAGUCUUUCAAAAGUGUAUUGAGUGAGUGUGUUGUGUGUGUGUGUGUGAUAUUAUCAAUCUUAAAUCUUUUAGGUUGUUUAAAGAUGUGGCGUACCAAUGUUCAUAUUUGCCAAGUCUUCUGUAAAACAUGUAGGAUAUGAUUUUUAUGUGCUAAUGCAUGUAUUUAUAAAGAUUUGUUUACCACUCAGACUUAAUAACUUUUGUUUUCUACAUCCAAAAAACAUUUCUGUUUCUUCCACAUACUCUGUGUGAAUAAAAUAGCUUUCUAACUUUUUCCUUUCACAAAGGCAGGUUCAAAAUUCUGUAAGAAGAAAAAUGGUCUCUGAAAUUGAGGUAUACCACCAGAGCUUGCUAGUUAGAGGAUUAUGUCAUGUACAUGAGUUCUGUAAAUGUGCUCAACAGUUGGUGAAUCCUGUUUUUAAAGUGCUCAGAUUUUGGAUAUGUAAGCCAUGGAUAUAACAUUGUAAUUCAAAAUGUUUAUAUUAAAUAGCAAUAUUUUAAAUUUAUUUAUGUAGAUCGCAUCAUUGUUAUCGUAUGCAGUGCAAAUAUGUGAAAUGCCCUGUUGUUUAUUCCAACAAUUAUUUAUUUUUAGAAAGUAAAUUUAAAAAGACUUUAAAGACAUUCAAGGUUUAAAGUGGUGUUCAAAUUUUAAGAUUUGCAAUUUUAAUGGAAAGUCUCUUUUCCAACUUUAGAAAGUAAAAUAAGUGUCAAUUAUAGGAAAACAGUUGGAAAUGGAAUCAUCUAAAGAUUAUCUUUAAAAUUAAGUUUAAUUAGCUCAUAUUUAGAGUACUUGUUAAGCCCCAGUUUUUUUUUAAUCAUAAUUUUUUGCACAUUGAUUGGUUUUUGUGCUGUGGCUUUUGUUGCUUUAUCAAAGUUUUUGUUUUUGCAGGAGGGAGGGCAUCUUCCAGUGUUUACUACAUUUAAAAAUUGAAUUUUAUUGUUCAUUUGUGUAAUAUUUGAUACCUUGGUGUAAUUUCACAGUACAGUUAACAAUUUUUAUGACUUUUAUAAUUACAGUGAUAUUUUCUUUUAUAAUAAAAUCCAAAGUAAAUUAAACAUUAAAUUGUAGAACUGUUAUAUUUCAUUUUUAUGAAGUACAAGUCUCUACCCAAGUCUAUAAUGUGAAUGAUCCUGCCUUUCAAAUUUGUUUCAUAAUUGUUAGAAGAAAACUAUUUUUUUGUAGAUGUUACUGAAGUUGAAAGAGCAAUAAAAGUCUACUUAAUUAGUUGUUGGUUAUUGUCUUGACUUUGUACUCCAAG
rnacentral:lncRNA from 1 species